UACGGGAGGCAGCAGUGGGGAAUCUUAGACAAUGGGCGCAAGCCUGAUCUAGCCAUGCCGCGUGUGUGAUGAAGGCCUUAGGGUCGUAAAGCACUUUCGCCAGGGAUGAUAAUGACAGUACCUGGUAAAGAAACCCCGGCUAACUCCGUGCCAGCAGCCGCGGUAAUACGGAGGGGGUUAGCGUUGUUCGGAAUUACUGGGCGUAAAGCGUACGUAGGCGGAUCAGAAAGUAGGGGUGAAAUCCCGGGCUCAACCUUGGAACUGCCUCCUAAACUCCUGGUCUUGAGUUCGAGAGAGGUGAGUGGAAUUCCAAGUGUAGAGGUGAAAUUCGUAGAUAUUUGGAGGAACACCAGUGGCGAAGGCGCUCACUGGUCGUAUGCGUGAGGUCGAA
rnacentral:rRNA from 1 species